CCAGACUCCUACGGGAGGCAGCAGUGAGGAAUAUUGGUCAAUGGCCGAGAGGCUGAACCAGCCAAGUCGCGUGAGGGAAGACGGCCCUACGGGUUGUAAACCUCUUUUGUCGGGGAGCAAAGCGAGUCACGUGUGACUCAUUGAGAGUACCCGAAGAAAAAGCAUCGGCUAACUCCGUGCCAGCAGCCGCGGUAAUACGGAGGAUGCGAGCGUUAUCCGGAUUUAUUGGGUUUAAAGGGUGCGUAGGCGGAAUGCCAAGUCAGCGGUAAAAUCGCGGGGCUCAACCUCGCUCCGCCGUUGAAACUGCAUCCCUUGAGUGCGCGAGAAGUAUGCGGAAUGCGUGGUGUAGCGGUGAAAUGCAUAGAUAUCACGCAGAACUCCGAUCGCGAAGGCAGCCUACCGGCGCGCAACUGACGCUCAUGCACGAAAGCGUGGGUAUCGAACAGGAUUAGAUACCCGUGUA
rnacentral:rRNA from 1 species